AGGGUAGAGCAGCCACACUGCCUGUCUCAGCUGCGGAUCAGAAUCUCUUCAAGAGAUUCAAGGUCUCGCCUGUUUUUGACGCGUGCCGCGCGGUUCACAGCAACAACAGACAGUGAAAGAGCUCCUUUGACUGUAUAUUGACAUCACACCAGCAACAUUACUAUAGUU